ACGAACCGUGCGAACGUUAUUCGGAAUCACUGGGCUUAAAGCGCGUGUAGGCGGGACGGCACGUCGGUCGUUGAAAGCCCCCGGCUCAACCGGGGAAUUGGCGCCGAUACGACCGUCCUGGAGGGACGUAGGGGGACCUGGAACUUCCGGUGGAGCGGUGAAAUGCGUUGAGAUCGGAAGGAACGCCCGUGGCGAAAGCGAGGUCCUGGACGUUUUCUGACGCUGAGACGCGAAAGCCAGGGGAGCGAACGGGAUUAGAUACCCCGGUAGUCCUGGCCGUAAACGAUGGGCACUGGAUAGGGGGCUCGCCGAGGGGCUCCCUGUCGUAGCGAAAGCGUGAAGUGCCCCGCCUGGGGAGUAUGGUCGCAAGGCUG
rnacentral:rRNA from 1 species